UCUCCUGGGACCUUGUUAAAUGGAGACUCUGAUUCCAUGGUCUGGGCUGGGGCCUGAGGUUCUGCAUCUCUAACAAGUUCCCAGGGGAUG
rnacentral:miRNA from 1 species